rnacentral:rRNA from 1 species
UGCAAGUCGAACGAUGAACCGCUUUCGGGCGGGGAUUAGUGGCGAACGGGUGAGUAACACGUGGGCAAUCUGCCCUGCACUCUGGGACAAGCCCUGGAAACGGGGUCUAAUACCGGAUAUGACUGUCCAUCGCAUGGUGGAUGGUGUAAAGCUCCGGCGGUGCAGGAUGAGCCCGCGGCCUAUCAGCUUGUUGGUGAGGUAGUGGCUCACCAAGGCGACGACGGGUAGCCGGCCUGAGAGGGCGACCGGCCACACUGGGACUGAGACACGGCCCAGACUCCUACGGGAGGCAGCAGUGGGGAAUAUUGCACAAUGGGCGAAAGCCUGAUGCAGCGACGCCGCGUGAGGGAUGACGGCCUUCGGGUUGUAAACCUCUUUCAGCAGGGAAGAAGCGAAAGUGACGGUACCUGCAGAAGAAGCGCCGGCUAACUACGUGCCAGCAGCCGCGGUAAUACGUAGGGCGCAAGCGUUGUCCGGAAUUAUUGGGCGUAAAGAGCUCGUAGGCGGCUUGUCACGUCGGUUGUGAAAGCCCGGGGCUUAACCCCGGGUCUGCAGUCGAUACGGGCAGGCUAGAGUUCGGUAGGGGAGAUCGGAAUUCCUGGUGUAGCGGUGAAAUGCGCAGAUAUCAGGAGGAACACCGGUGGCGAAGGCGGAUCUCUGGGCCGAUACUGACGCUGAGGAGCGAAAGCGUGGGGAGCGA